UAUUAGGAAGGGAGACCUACGGAAAACCUUGAAUUACUUCUGGAAUUUGAUUUAUUCUUUAAAUUGAAAAUCUGCAUAUAGAUUAGAUUUUUAUGAUCACUCAUUUUGUGUUGUUCGGCAGUUAUGUUUGGUGAAGAGCUUCCCCCAUGGGAUUUAGAAAGAAAAUAUCAGCCUCAAAAUCUACAACUGUUUCUUGAGGAUCCUGAUAACGGAGACCUUUAUCAAGUUGAUCUUGAAAAGUCACCAAAGCUCCACAUCAUGAGGGUAUGUGUACGCCUGUUCAGCCAAGCACCGUGCUACCCUGAGCCUGCAGUCUGUCUGGUUCUCCCCCAUCUCUGGGCCCAUAAGGGCAGCCACACGUUCCAUGCACUCCCCCUCCUCCAGC